CUUGACUUGAAAUGGAACAAGGAUAUCACUUGUAGAGCCAAAAACUGUACAAGAUUUAGAGAACAAGAAAGUUCUUGGUGGACUGCAUAUUAUCAAGUAUGACCAGAUAGAAAAAGGCUGCAUGAUCUGCUAACAGUGACCUGAUGGGAAAACAAGAAAUGAAAGGAAAUGAAGCAGAGCAAGCUGGCCAGCCUG